rnacentral:misc_RNA from 1 species
UGGCUCUCGCGUCGAUGAAGAACGCAGCGAAAUGCGAUAAGUAAUGUGAAUUGCAGAAUUCAGUGAAUCAUCGAAUUUUUGAACGCACCUUGCGCCUUUUGGUAUUCCGAAAGGCACACCUGUUUGAGUGUCAUGAAUUCCUCAAAUUCAAUGUUUUCUUGGAAGCAUUGUUUUGGAUUUUGAGUGUUGCAGUGUUCCACAGCUCACUUUAAAAGUAUAAGCCAGUUCUCAUACAACGGUUUGACUCAGCGUAAUAAACAUUUUCGUUGAGGAUGCUUUAAUAGCAGCCGAAAUUAUAAGAGUGGCUCCUAAAAGGCUUCAUUGCAUUUAUGACUUUAGACCUCAAAUCAGGUGGGACUACCCGCUGA